GACGAACGCUGGCGGCGUGCUUAACACAUGCAAGUCGAGCGGUAAGGCCCCUUCGGGGGUACACGAGCGGCGAACGGGUGAGUAACACGUGAGCAAUCUGCCCAUCACAUCGGGAUAACUCCGGGAAACCGAAGCUAAUACCGAAUACGACCACCUACGGCAUCGGAUGGUGGUGGAAAGUUCCGGCGGUGAUGGAUGAGCUCGCGGCCUAUCAGCUUGUUGGUGGGGUAACGGCCCACCAAGGCUUCGACGGGUAGCCGGCCUGAGAGGGUGACCGGCCACACUGGGACUGAGACACGGCGCAGAAUCCUACGGGAGGCAGCAGUGGGGAAUAUUAGACAGUGGGCGAAAGCCUGAUCCAGCAACGCCGCGUGAGGGAUGACGGCCUUCGGGUUGUAAACCACUUUCAGCAGGGACGAAGCGCAAGUGACGGUACCUGCAGAAGAAGCACCGGCCAACUACGUG
rnacentral:rRNA from 1 species